GAUUUAUUGUCUCCAGAGACAAUGUCAAGAAUAUGCUAUAUCUGCAAAUGGGCGAUCUGUAAACCAAGAACACAUCAGUAUAUCACUGUGCAAGAGGAG